GACGAACGCUGGCGGCGUGCUUAACACAUGCAAGUCGAACGGAAAGGCCCUGCUUUUGUGGGGUGCUCGAGUGGCGAACGGGUGAGUAACACGUGAGUAACCUGCCCUUGACUUUGGGAUAACUUCAGGAAACUGGGGCUAAUACCGGAUAGGAGCUCCUGCUGCAUGGUGGGGGUUGGAAAGUUUCGGCGGUUGGGGAUGGACUCGCGGCUUAUCAGCUUGUUGGUGGGGUAGUGGCUUACCAAGGCUUUGACGGGUAGCCGGCCUGAGAGGGUGACCGGCCACAUUGGGACUGCGAUACGGCCCAGACUCCUACGAGAGGCAGCAGUGGGGAAUAUUGCACAAUGGGCGGAAGCCUGAUGCAGCAACGCCGCGUGCGGGAUGACGGCCUUCGGGUUGUAAACCGCUUUCGCCUGUGACGAAGCGUGAGUGACGGUAAUGGGUAAAGAAGCACCGGCUAACUACGUG
rnacentral:rRNA from 1 species